UGUUCUGUGGCUUAGUUGGUUAGAGCGCCGGUCUAGCGAAUACGGAGUCGUGGGUUCGAAUCCCACCAGAACGC
rfam:Aedes albopictus isolate Foshan contig55189, whole genome shotgun sequence.